rnacentral:lncRNA from 1 species
GGGGGCUUUCAGGGGGAGAAAAUACGGGGAACUCUGAGGUGACGAAAGAUGAGGGGAUUGAGAGUACGAGGAAACUCUGGGGAGACGGGAUAUAAAGAAAGCGAGUGGAGGGAUUGAGGGGGGCAGUGUCGAGAAACUUUGAGAGGACAGGAUAUGGGAGGGGAUCCUGAGGGCGAUGCACCUGUGGCGACCAGGUCGGCCACUUCCCGGAGAGCCACACCCCGCCGCUGGGAACAUUGGGCCCCGCAGCCCCGGGCGGUCCACGCCCACAGGGUAGGCCCGAGGCCUGGGGAGCCUGUGGGGCCUCCCUGCCCUCAGCAGCGCUCGGCCCGGCCGGCUUCGGUGCGCCCGGAAAAGUCGUCCGGCACCAUUCCGGUGCGCAGCUCCGCCGCCGCCCUGCCGCUGACGUUCCGCUGCCGGGAGGGGAGAGGGCGCCGCCCCGCGGGCUCCGAACGCCGGCUCCACAGUAACAGAAGAGAUUGCACAGCUGUUAGAGAACUAUCACCUUUUCACAAAAUGACACUGACAUGGAGGCAGUUUUUAUCUCAACCCUGCUGUUGUAAUAUCUCUUUUGCAGCAAUGUUCAGGGAAGAGACCUCCAACUUUUUACACCAGGUAUGA